rnacentral:rRNA from 1 species
UGGGGAAUAUUGCACAAUGGGGGAAACCCUGAUGCAGCGACGCCGCGUGAGCGAUGAAGGUUUUCGAAUCGUAAAGCUCUGUCCUAUGGGAAGAUAAUGACGGUACCAUGGGAGGAAGCCCCGGCUAACUACGUGCCAGCAGCCGCGGUAAUACGUAGGGGGCGAGCGUUGUCCGGAAUUACUGGGCGUAAAGGGUUCGCAGGCGGCAUGGCAAGUCCGAUGUAAAAGGCGAAGGCUCAACCUUCGUAAGCAUCGGAAACUGUCAAGCUUGAGUGAAGGAGAGGCAAGUAGAAUUCCUAGUGUAGCGGUGGAAUGCGUAGAUAUUAGGAGGAAUACCGGUGGCGAAGGCGACUUGCUGGACUUCAACUGACGCUGAGGAACGAAAGCGUGGGUAGCAAACAGG